CGUAGGAAAUCUACCUUAUAGAGGGGGACCUGGGGAAACUCGGGCUAAUACCGCAUAAUCUCUUUGGAGCAAAGCGGGGGAUCUUCGGACCUCGUGCUAUAAGAUGAGCCUACGUCGGAUUAGCUUGUUGGUGGGGUAAUGGCCUACCAAGGCGACGAUCCGUAGCUGGUCUGAGAGGACGAUCAGCCACACUGGGACUGAGACACGGCCCAGACUCCUACGGGAGGCAGCAGUGGGGAAUAUUGGACAAUGGGGGAAACCCUGAUCCAGCAAUGCCGCGUGUGUGAAGAAGGCCUUCGGGUUGUAAAGCACUUUCGGUGGGGAAGAAAUUCUCAAGGGUAAUAUCCUUGGGCGUUGACGUUACCCACAGAAGAAGCACUGGCUAACUCUGUGCCAGCAGCCGCGGUAAUACAGAGAGUGCAGUUAAUCGGAAUCACUGGGCGUAAAGCGCGCGUAGGUGGAUAUUUAAGUCGGUGAAAGCCCUGGGCUUAACCUGGGAAUUGCACCCGAUACUGGGUAUCUUGAGUAUGGUAGAGGGUGGAAUUUCCGGUGUAGCGGUGAAAUGCGUAGAUAUCGGAAAGAACACCAGUGGCGAAGGCGACUUCCUGGACCAAUACUGACACUGAGGCGCGAAAGCGUGGGGAGCAAACAGGAUUAGAGACCCUGGUAGUCCACGCCGUCGAUGAGAACUAGCUG
rnacentral:rRNA from 1 species